rnacentral:tRNA from 1 species
AGGGAUAUAGCUCAGUGGAAGAGUGCUUGUCUAACAUGCACAAAGCUCUGGGUUAAAUCCCCAGAAUCUUUA